ACUGUCUUAAGAUCCUAAAACCAGCUCUAAACAGGAGUUCAACUAUAGAUUCCAUUAUGAUACCAACAAUCAUAAACCACAGUGUGAGUCAGACGUUCCCUGGUAGUUGAUGUAGUAAAUUAUAGAUCUGAUGCCAAAGCAUUAAUGGCUCGGACCCAAACACCAACGGUCCUUUUUCAGAUGCUGUUCCUGUUUCUGUUCAAGUAGAACAAAAUCCCCCAAAGUCUUAGAAUCAGAUGUAAAAAAAGUUUUCCUGUGCUUGUAAAGAGUUAAACACCAAAUCCAGGUAAGUUCCGGAUACCUUACUGAAGGUUUCUUUGUCUAGUGUUGCCUCAUAUCUGCCAAAAGAGACUUCAGAACAUGCUUUUUAAAUCUAAUUGGCUACUUUGAGUCCUUGUUAGGGAAGUCCCUGGUUGAUGUCAUGUUGCUGACUCGGCUCCCUUUUAGCGGACUCUGUCAGGCCUGGGCCUGGAGCCGGUCUCGGACUCUGCAGGUUGAAGCUGCAUGUGCAGUGAUGUGAACCUUGGACUUCUCUUUGGCAGACACGAGAUGUCCCAAUCAUUCAUGCUCGUCACAUAUUGCAGCUGAAGGAUGAGAAACUAUUUAGAUUUACCAGAGUGAGUCUGAGAGAGAGGAGUGGGACUCGUAAUGCUCAUUGGAUCAGUCGAGUAAAAACAGUAAUAAUCACAUUAUUUAUCUCUGUUUCCGUGGAUACCAGUGGUCAUGAAGAAACAAAAGACGGGAUUGUUCCAGUACCAAAGCCACCACGACACAUCUCAUAUUACCAAAAACAGCUUCAGCCAAACCUCCAGAAUGAGUUUGUGUGUGCUCAGGAGGGGUGGACCCAGAACAAAGAUGGCCGACCUCUGGAUGACAUCUACACACAUCUGUACAUCAGAGCUACUGGUGACGUACACAUCAACACACAGCAUGAGGUCAUGCAGCUUGAAGCGGUGAAGCCAGCCGAUACAGAGACAACAAUUACACCUUGUGACAUGUUCAAACACCCCUCUAUAGAAGACAAAGCCAUAAGGACAGUACUGACCAAUGGAAUCGCAGGAAUUGGAAAAACCUUUCUAGUGAACAAGUUUGUGUUGGACUGGUGUAAAGGAGAAACCAAUCAAGAUCUCCAUCUCAUUUUCCCCUUCACCUUCCGCCAGCUGAAUUUAAAGAAGG